GUCUCGCUGAGCUGCUCAGGGCCUCAGUUUGGCUGAGGCUGGCCUCCACCUUGCGAUCCUCGUGCCUCAGCCUCCCGAGCCUCUGGGAUGACAGGCGUGGGGCCCUGCACCUGACUUUGGCCUCUUUCUAGAAGGGCUCCCGUGGGAUUACUCAAAGGGUCUGCAACUCAUUAAAACAAAAUGUUUUCUGGGAAGUUCUAACGAAUGUCCCUCUCUGUCACCUUCUGGCAAAAACAUGCACUUGACCUUCCACGGCCCCAGGAACAACGAAAAGUACCCUGUAGUUCCACACUCUGGCCACCAGGGGGAGAGCGCGUUCCCCGGAUGGAAGAAGGGACAGGGGACUUCCAGUGACCUGCCAGCCCGGGAUCAGGCGCAGGGGGGGUCAGGGAGCUCCAGUGUAACGCAUUACAAUGUCCCCAGGCCCCUGGAAGUCGCCUGUGAUCUCAGAUCCCUACCUAAUACUUUUGAGUUCCCUUUUAAAAUUAUGGAGGAUUUUUCUGGGUUUUUUUUUUGGGGGGGGGUCCCAGGGAUGGAACCCAGGGUCACUGAACCCCGGAGCCCCGUCCCCAGCCCUUUUUUCUAUUUUAUUUAGAGACAGGGUCUCGCUGAGUGGCUCAGGGCCUCGCUUUGGCGGAAGCUAGCCUCCACCCUGGGAUCCUCCUGCCUCAGCCUCCUGAGCCUCUGGGAGGUCAGGCCCAGUCUAAAUCAUCUGGAGGUAUUUUUCAGAAGCGAAGUCAACUUGCUGUCACUUAACCAGAGACCCAGGGUCCCUGCCAUACAAGGAAAGAGACAUGACAGUUGGUCACAGAUAGGACAAGGACACUCUUCAUUUCUGACCAGAGCCAAUUGGUUCCUGAGCGCCCCAGGGGGACAAGGAGGGGUGAGAGGUCAAAGCACCCGUGCUGAGGUGCACAGGGACACGCUGGCGUCUCGCCUCACAAGUAGGGACCCUGCUUGAUCCUUUCAGUUACAGGAGACAAAAGUUCUACGAUGGCUUAGGAGGCUGAGGCAGGAGGAUCGCAAAUCGGAGGCCAGCCUCGUUUUAUUGAAACAAAGAGCCGUAACCUCCUCAAUGACCUCAAAAUCCUCGGCCAGUGGGAGCCUCCGGGGCCGAGCACCUGGAAGACGGAGCCGGCCAGGGACAGGGACAGGUGGGGGGUGUGGCUCCGUUUCGCGGAUGAGGAAAACUGAGUCACGGGAACAACCCGGAGUCUCUCAUCCCAGGGGCCACCUCCUCCAGGAGGCCUCCCCUCCUCCUGGGCCCAGUGGGGGGCCGGCCGUCUCUCUCUGGGGCAGGCCCAGCCCCUGAGGUCCUGGUGGUCAGUCCCCUGGGGUUCCCUUCCGUCCCCGGGCACAGGCCUAAGGUCCUGGGGCCACCUCCUCUGGUGGUGAGAGAUAAGCCGGGCUAUUUCCAUCCUUCCCUUCCUGUCACUCAAACAGCAGCCACUGUCCCCUCCUCCCCGGGCUUUGUCACCACAGCCUCCGCCAGGACAGCACAGGCCACAGAGGGGGCCCCGACCGAAGCCCACAGGUGAGUGUUCCCUUGUCACCCUGCCUGUCCUCGCUGGGCCGGGAGGGAGACAGAAGGCUGUCCCUGUCCCUCCUCCCAGGCUGCUGGGGACCUGGGCCAUGGAGGGACAAGUGGA
rnacentral:lncRNA from 1 species